rnacentral:rRNA from 1 species
UACGUAGGGUGCGAGCGUUGUUCGGAAUUACUGGGCGUAAAGAGCUCGUAGGCGGUUUGUCGCGUUGUCCGUGAAAACUCACAACUCAAUUGUGGGCGUGCGGGCGAUACGGGCAGACUGGAGUACUGCAGGGGAGACUGGAAUUCCUGGUGUAGCGGUGGAAUGCGCAGAUAUCAGGAGGAACACCGGUGGCGAAGGCGGAUCUCUGGGCCGAUACUGACGCUGAGGAGCGAAAGCGUGGGGAGCGAACAGG